rnacentral:rRNA from 1 species
AGUAACAGUCAGAAACGGCUGCUAAUACCGCAUAAGCGCACAGAGCUGCAUGGCUCAGUGUGAAAAACUCCGGUGGUAUAAGAUGGACCCGCGUUGGAUUAGCUAGUUGGUGGGGUAACGGCCCACCAAGGCGACGAUCCAUAGCCGGCCUGAGAGGGUGAACGGCCACAUUGGGACUGAGACACGGCCCAGACUCCUACGGGAGGCAGCAUG